AACGCUCUGGUCCUGUCAUACCUAUGGGGGACCAACCUUGUGCCUCCGGGAGAUCCACGCUCCCACCAGGAAACACGCGGGAACCCAAGCCUCCAAAAAAGCGCUGUGUCCUGGCUCCGCGGUGGGAUUAUCCUGAAGGGACUCCCAGUGGAGGUAGUACCACUCUCCCCUCGGCGCCUCCUCCGGCAUCUACUGGACUCAAGUCGCACCCUCCUCCUCCGGAGAAGUAGUGAAAUAGAUUUUUUUCCCAGACGAAAUCAGUCUGUGAGGGAUUGCAGUAUGGUUCCGUUUCCUUGGUGCGUUUGUAAAAUAGUUUACCCAUUGAAGACCAUGAAGAUUCUUUCCAAUGCUACCCUGCUUUUGCUGGUGUCCUGCACCUGGAAGUUGUGAUGCUAAAGGCUCAUCUUAUAUUUUCUACCCCAUUGACCAUUUCUCUAUUUGACUGUGCCACUGGGAGACCGUAUUUACAAACUGAGUAUUAUGAUGUAAUGACUGUGAUUUCACCUCCAGAAUUUGGAUGACUCUAGGACAUGGGCAAGAUCAGGUUGUAGACUUCUAGGACUGAAGGCCAUGGUGUGUGUGGAUCAUGGUCAACUCACCAAAGCAAGUAAUGCCCUUGAGAUGACCCUGCAGAAGCUUGUCAUUGCUCUCUUUUGUUGACACCCAGUCUUUGCUGUAUUACAUUAAAGUUGCAUAAAUCCAUUAAUGUCCAAAUAAAUCGUGUCUUAUGGCAACGUU
rnacentral:lncRNA from 1 species